UACGUAGGGGGCGAGCGUUGUCCGGAUUUAUUGGGCGUAAAGGGUACGCAGGCGGCCAUGUAAGUCAGAUGUGAAAGGUCACGGCUCAACCGUGGUAAGCAUUUGAAACUGUGUGGCUUGAGUUAAGGAGAGGAAAGUGGAAUUCCUGGUGUAGCGGUGAAAUGCGUAGAUAUCAGGAGGAAUAUCAGUGGCGAAGGCGACUUUCUGGACUUAUACUGACGCUGAGGUACGAAAGCGUGGGGAGCAAACAGGAUUAGAUACCCUGGUAGUCCACGCCGUAAACGAUGAGUGCUAGGUGUCGGGGGUCAAACCUCGGUGCCGCAGUUAACACAUUAAGCACUCCGCCUGGGGAGUACGUACGCAAGUAUGAA
rnacentral:rRNA from 1 species